rnacentral:rRNA from 1 species
AAAGUGAAGGGUUUGAUCCUGGCUCAGAACGAACGUUAGCGGUGUGGAUUAGGCAUGCAAGUCGUGCGCGAAAGUCCGCAAGGAUGAGUAAAGCGGCGAACGGGUGAGUAAUACGUAAUCAACCUACCCCCGAGAUCGGAAUAACCACUGGAAACGGUGGCUAAUGCUGGAUGGUCCUGCGGGUUGGCAUCAGCCUGCAGGUAAAUGGUGGCGCAAGCUGCUGUUCGGGGACGGGGUUACGGGCUAUCAGCUAGUUGGCGGGGUAACGGCCCACCAAGGCGAUGACGGCUAGCCGAUCUGAGAGGACGACCGGCCACACUGGGACUGAGACACUGCCCAGACUCCUACGGGAGGCUGCAGUCGAGGAUCUUCCGCAAUGGGCGAAAGCCUGACGGAGCGACACCGCGUGCAGGAUGAAGGCCUUCGGGUUGUAAACUGCUGUCACGCUAUAGGAACCCCUGAAUGUGAAUAGCAUUCAGGCUGACUAAAGCGAGAGGAAGCACCGGCUAACUCUGUGCCAGCAGCCGCGGUAAGACAGAGGGUGCAAACGUUGCUCGGAAUCACUGGGCAUAAAGCGCACGUAGGCGGUUCACUAAGUCUGAUGUGAAAUCCCCCGGCUCAACCGGGGAACUGCAUUGGAUACUGGUGAGCUUGAGAGUUGUAGGGGUGGACGGAACUCCAGGUGGAGCGGUGAAAUGCGUAGAUAUCUGGAGGAACACCGGAGGCGAAAGCGAUCCACUGGGCCAAAUCUGACGCUGAGGUGCGAAAGCUAGGGUAGCAAACGGGAUUAGAUACCCCGGUAGUCCUAGCCGU